CUUUAAUUAUAUUUCCAGUGAUUUUCUCUCUUAUUAUAGGAGAUAUUUAUGGAAAGAGUUUCGAUUUCCAACAAUUGUUGAAAUUAUCAACGAUUAAGAAGAGAGCUGAAGAAAAUAUCUUGGAAAAUAUACUGGAUACUGAAUUAGAUUCCACACCAUGCCCCGUUAUUGAAUGUCUGAUAAUAACAGAUAGUGCCUACGCUGCAAGAUUUGAUAACGAAGAAGAAAUUACGAUUAUAUAAAUGAUAUAAUUAGUGGAACACAAAAUACUAUCGAUGAAUUAGAACUUAGUAUAACACUUCGUUUGAUUGGACGUAUCUCGUAUACAACGUAAAAUAUUUACACGCAUUCCAAGACCAGGAGAUAAUUUUGCAACAGAAUCUAAGAGUAGUAAAUUUAGCAUUUUUAAUUAAAUUAUUCACUUCAAUAAGAUUUCUAAUUUCAUAUUCUUUUUAAAAAAUUAUUUGAAGACAUGGGUUGGGUGCGAGGUGCUUGCGAUUCGGACAUAAAAUUUGCGAUGGUGAGCGAUGACCGUCAUCUGUCUUCGACAAUUGAUAACUUUGUUUACCAAUUAGG